rfam:Wenxinia saemankumensis strain DSM 100565 genome assembly, contig: Ga0131179_103
GUACCGUCACAACGGCUUCCUGGCGUGGCGGGUCAGACCGAAUGGAGCA